GUACGGGAGGCAGCAGUAAGGAAUUUUGCGCAAUGGGCGAAAGCCUGACGCAGCAACGCCGCGUGAGGGAUGAAGGUCUUCGGAUUGUAAACCUCUGUUGGAUGGGAAGAAAAUCUUCAGGUUAAUACCCUGAAGACUGACGGUACCAUUCGAGUAAGCACCGGCUAACUACGUGCCAGCAGCCGCGGUAAUACGUAGGGUGCAAGCGUUGUUCGGAAUCACUGGGCGUAAAGGGAGCGUAGGCGGAAAUGUAAGUUAGGAGUUAAAUACAUAGGCUCAACCUGUGGUCUGCUUUUAAUACUGCAUUUCUUGAGUAUGGGAGAGGGCGAUGGAAUUCCAGGUGUAGCGGUGGAAUGCGUAGAUAUCUUGAAGAACACCAGUUGCGAAGGCGGUCGCCUGGCCCAAUACUGACGCUGAGGCUCGAAAGCUAGGGGAGCGAACAGGAUUAGAUACCCUGGU
rnacentral:rRNA from 1 species